rnacentral:rRNA from 1 species
UACGUAGGGUGCGAGCGUUGUCCGGAAUUAUUGGGCGUAAAGGGCUCGUAGGCGGUUUGUCGCGUCGGGAGUGAAAACACCGGGCUUAACUCGGUGCUUGCUUUCGAUACGGGCAGACUAGAGGUAUGCAGGGGAGAACGGAAUUCCUGGUGUAGCGGUGAAAUGCGCAGAUAUCAGGAGGAACACCGGUGGCGAAGGCGGUUCUCUGGGCAUUACCUGACGCUGAGGCACGAAAGCGUGGGGAGCAAACAGG